UACGUAGGGUGCAAGCAUUGUCCGGAAUUAUUGGGCGUAAAGAGCGUGUAGGCGGCCCCGUUAGUCCGCUGUGAAAGUCCAGGGCUCAAUCCUGGAAUGCCGGUGGAUACUGCGGGCUAGAGUCCGGAAGGGGCGAGUGGAAUUCCGUGGUGUAGCGGUGAAAUGCGCAGAUAUCAGGAGGAACACCAAUGGCGAAGGCAGCUCGCUGGGACGUGACUGACGCUGAGACGCGAAAGCGUGGGGAGCAAACAGG
rnacentral:rRNA from 1 species